UACAGAGGUCUCAAGCGUUUGUUCGGAUUCAUUGGGCGUAAAGGGUGCGUAGGCGGCGCGGUAAGUCGGGUGUGAAAUCUCGGGGCUUAACUCCGAAACUGCAUUUGAUACUGCCGUGCUUGAGGACUGGAGGGGAGACUGGAAUUCCUGGUGUAGCGGUGAAAUGCGCAGAUAUCAGGAGGAACACCGGUGGCGAAGGCGGGGUCUCUGGGCCGUAAACUGACGCUGAGGAGCGAAAGCGUGGGGAGCGAACAGG
rnacentral:rRNA from 1 species